GCCUUGCCAGCCCGCUCAGAAACUUAAAGGAAUUGACGGGGCCCGCACAAGCGGAGGAACAUGUGGUUUAAUUCGAUGAUACGCGAGGAACCUUACCCGGGCUUGAAUUGCAGAGGAACAUAGUUGAAAGAUUAUGGCCGCAAGGUCUCUGUGAAGGUGCUGCAUGGUUGUCGUCAGCUCGUGCCGUGAGGUGUCGGCUUAAGUGCCAUAACGAGCGCAACCCUUAUCAUUAGUUACUAACAGGUCAUGCUGAGGACUCUAGUGAGACUGCCGUCGUAAGAUGUGAGGAAGGUGGGGAUGACGUCAAAUCAGCACGGCCCUUACGUCCGGGGCUACACACGUGUUACAAUGGGGGGUACAGAGGGCAGCUACCGGGCGACCGGAUGCCAAUCCCAAAAACCUCUCUCAGUUCGGAUCGAAGUCUGCAACCCGACUUCGUGAAGCUGGAUUCGCUAGUAAUCGCGCAUCAGCCACGGCGCGGUGAAUACGUUCCCGGGCCUU
rnacentral:rRNA from 1 species